rnacentral:lncRNA from 1 species
GCCGCGCGCCUGGGAACGCGCCAGCCCCUCUGUCCCUGGGAGGGGGCUUGGGCUCCGGCAGGAAGUCCGGUGCCUGCAGACUUUAUAAGGACAUACUUUAUAAGGAGGCAGAUGGGGUGGCCGGCGGGCGGGUGUGUUUACCAGAGGGAACGAAGAAACCCGAGCCCUCCAGGGCCGCGGUAGCCACCGCCAACAAGGGAGGCGAUCUGACCCGGGGACCCGAAGCAAGACCCGGGCGAGCCUAGAGGAAAUGAUCAGGGGAAGAGCAAACAAGAAAGACGAAGAGAAAGAGACCCUUCUCUAGGGGGUGGCCCAGCCCCUCAUCUGUGAAACGGGGCUUUUGAAUCAGGGAUCCCCGAGGUCCCAUCCUAUAAUGACAACCGUGGUUCUAAACAGAGUGGAAGAGAAGAAGGGGAGAAUGAAGGGGUCGGACAGAGGGAACAAUGUGCCCAGAGACUCAGCUGUUGACACCCGGAGUAACACAGAGUCUCCCCGGCGCUUCCACACUCCGGAUCUCCUGAGACCCAGGAUCCCAAUUCCAAAUCGCAUCCACGCGGGGUGUCUUCCCUGCGUGCCAGACCCAGCGGGCCUCGGAACCGCCGGUCUCACCUCGUCUGCGCCCUCGAAAGAAGCAGUGGAUCUGGGAACCGUCCUGGCGCCACAGAUAGGUGAAGCCGGGAAGCCAGGGCAUGGACUACGCGAUCUGCGGAGUUGAUAGCUGUAUUUACAGGCGUUGGGAGCAGCGCCCCAAGGUGGGGGCGGGGGUUCCCGUCCUUCCCCACCCCUUAGGUCGAGUUUCAUGCACACGUGACUCGCCUGUUGGUCCCCAGAUACUUUUCUUACCCAGUGCGCCCGGGGCGCCUAAAUUUCCACUCUCGACCCCCAGCUUCUCUGUUGACCCCCUGAACUAACGUUUGACAGCAUUCUCUACAUCUUUGUUCAAAACAACCAAAAACUUGGCUGAAGUUAAACUGGAUGCUGGAAAGGCUAGGGUGGGGUCUUGAACUGUGAAGUUGAAAAGGAUUCUUUUCCAAAAGAGUCGGGAACUCUUUUGGAGUUUAUAUGCUCCAGUUAAGAGUCUGCAUUUUGAAAGCUGUCUAGCCCGAGUUACCUUGGGCAACUUAAUCUCUCAAAGCUUGUUUCCUUCUCUAUAAAUUUGGAUAACAGCAUUUGCCGGCCUGUCAAGAGGAGAUAGAAUUAGGAUGCAGUAGUAAUUAAUGCUGGGUACACUUGACUUGGUGAGCAUAAUAAAUGUUCAUUGUUGC